rnacentral:lncRNA from 1 species
UGCCAGUUAAAGAUGCCCAAUGGGCGCGUCGUUGAAGCAUGGCCCGUCAGCCUCAUAGUGUUGGGUCCAUCUCAUUUGGGUGGCCUAAACCUAAAGUUUUAUAAGUUUGGGUAGUUAAACAAUUAAAGAAAACUUAAAGGGGGUAAUAAAAUUUGCCAUGAAAUUUGGCUUUAAAAUGCAAGCGGUAGCCCUAGUUUCACUAUAGCAAAAAGACAAAUUGCAGAAGAAGUAGUGAGAGAGAAAGGCAGAGGAGGUUUUGGUUUUGGGAAUAGUGAUUUCAAUCUUUGAUUGAACGAUUAGAAAGUGAAAUUAACUCUGUUUUUUCCCAAAUUUUAAGAGUAAGUUUUUGACAUUGCUCUUUACAAUUCUACUGGUCUUGAUUUUCAUUUUAUCCUCCUGUUGGCUGUUAUUUGAGAUAUUCACUUAUUAGAGAGACAUUUAUUAGGCUAUUAUUAUAAGUCAAAAAUAUUGAGAUUCUUGAUGUUGUUAGCCUCUAGUAUUAUCUAGAGAAGAAUUUUUACUGUGAUCCCAUUAAUAUAAUGGAAGAUUAUAUUGAACUAUGGUCCUAUGAUUUUUCCAGCUUUAGGUUUUCCACGUAAAACUUUUUUUUUUUUAGAAGACAUGCUUGGCGUACUUUUUUAAGUCCAUGUGCCCUUUUUUCAAACACAUGCACUAACAACAACAACAAUGAUUUUUUUCUUAAGGGUUAAUGUUUAAUUGUUAACUUAUACUUCCAUGGAGUUAUAAAUCAUAAUUUAUAAUAACAUUAAUGCUUACAAGUUCCAAAUUAAAUAUAAUAAUUAACAUUUCCUUAACACAAUUACACAACCAUAUUAUCUAAUUUCAUAAUAACCAAUUAUAAUACAAAGAUACAUAAAUCUAAUUCCAUAAACUAUGGUAAUGACCAAUAAAAAUUAAAAUUGCAAUCCUGAAAUAAUGAUUACAAGAAGUUACAGUUAUGAGAUAUCAAUUACAAUAUAGCUGGGAUGUACAGUUAACUGUACCGAUGCAAAUUAUACUUAAUUUUAUUUAAAAUACUAAUAUUGUACUUGCACUUGAACGCCAUUGAAUGAAAAUGUAACUUUUGAUUUAUCAUAAAAUAUAUAUCAUUCAUAAUUUUAUUUUUUGUGUGCAAAUGUGAAAAAUAUUUAAUUCACAAAUGAAACAUAUCUCCUUCGACUAAUUUAUAAUUUCACAAAUGGAAAAUUACAAUCAUAAAUAUCUAGAUUUAUCUUUGAUAAAAUCACGAUAUUUAUAAUUUUAUUUAUUAAAGUUAUAACAUCAUUUGUUUAUUUAAUAAAUUAUAAAUAUAAAAUAAUUAGAUUUUUUUUAAACUAAGACUUAAAUUAAUUUUAAAAAUUUACACUAAUAAAAUAUAUUAAAAGAUUCGAUUUCAAGUUAUUUAUAAAAUCAUAAUAUUUUAUAUUUACUUUCAUUAAAAAAUUAGUCAAUCUCUAAUCAUGCCAUUCUUUUAAGGCACACGUGCCUAAAAUUCUCAGCCCAGCCCAGUUCGAGUGCGAGUCAUGGCGUGCCGCGUGCCCAUACUAAAAAGAGUUUAUGCUAUAUGUGGCCGUACCAUGCCGCGUGCCGCUAGGUCCAUUGGCCAUCUUUAGUGUUGAUAAUUAAAAUCGAAACAACUAUUCUUGAAAAUAGCCUAGAGUUCCAUUGAAAAGAUAAGAUUAACUGAGCCUAGUGUAUUGACACGACUUAAAAGUCUUUGAUUUACUCUCAAGUAUAAGAGUGCCUAUAUAUAAUAUAUCUCGGUGAGUCCGAGGUCGAUCCACAAAGAAAAGAUUUAAUU